UAGGGAAUUUUCGUCAAUGGGCGCAAGCCUGAACGAGCGAUGCCGCGUGAGUGAAGAAGGCCUUCGGGUCGUAAAGCUCUGUUGCGGGGGAAAAAAGGCAGCAUCAGGAAAUGGGUGCUGACUGAUGGUGCCCCGCCAGAAAGUCACGGCUAACUACGUGCCAGCAGCCGCGGUAAUACGUAGGUGGCGAGCGUUAUCCGGAAUGAUUGGGCGUAAAGGGUGCGCAGGCGGUCCUGCAAGUCUGGAGUGAAACGCAUGAGCUCAACUCAUGCAUGGCUUUGGAAACUGGAGGACUGGAGAGCAGGAGAGGGCGGUGGAACUCCAUGUGUAGCGGUAAAAUGCGUAGAUAUAUGGAAGAACACCAGUGGCGAAGGCGGCCGCCUGGCCUGUUGCUGACGCUGAGGCACGAAAGCGUGGGGAGCAAAUAGG
rnacentral:rRNA from 1 species